UAGCGAGGUUCGAGCCGCCCGUACCCCAAACCGACUCAGGUGGUUAGGUAGAGAAUACCAAGGCGAUCGAGUGAAUCGUGGUUAAGGAACUCGGCAAAAUACCCCCGUAACUUCGGGAGAAGGGGGGCCCAGAGGGUGACGGAGACUAGCGCUCCUGAGCCUGAACGGCCGCAGAGACCAGGGAGAAGCGACUGUUUACUAAAAACACAGGUCCGUGCCAAGUCGCAAGACGAUGUAUACGGACUGACGCCUGCCCGGUGCUGGAACGUUAAGGGGACCGGUUAGCCUCACGGCGAAGCUGAGAACUUAAGCGCCAGUAAACGGCGGUGGUAACUAUAACCAUCCUAAGGUAGCGAAAUUCCUUGUCGGGUAAGUUCCGACCUGCACGAAUGGCGUAACGACUUCUCCACUUUCUCAACCACGAACUCGGCGAAAUUGCACUACGAGUAAAGAUGCUCGUUACGCGCAGAAGGACGGAAAGACCCCGGGACCUUUACUACAGCUUGGUAUUGGUGUUCGGAACGGCUUGUGUAGGAUAGGUGGGAGGCUCCGAAGCUGAUACGCCAGUAUCGGUGGAGCCAACGUUGAAAUACCACUCUGGUCGUUCUGGAUGUCUAACCUAGGUCCGUAAUCCGGAUCAGGGACAGUGCCUGGUGGGUAGUUUAACUGGGGCGGUUGCCUCCUAAAAGGUAACGGAGGCGCCCAAAGGUUCCCUCAGCCUGGUUGGCAAUCAGGUUUUGAGUGUAAGUGCACAAGGGAGCUUGACUGUGAGACUGACAAGUCGAACAGGGACGAAAGUCGGGACUAGUGAUCCGGCGGUGGCUUGUGGAAGCGCCGUCGCUCAACGGAUAAAAGGUACCCCGGGGAUAACAGGCUGAUCUUGCCCAAGAGUCCAUAUCGACGGCAUGGUUUGGCACCUCGAUGUCGGCUCGUCGCAUCCUGGGGCUGGAGUAGGUCCCAAGGGUUGGGCUGUUCGCCCAUUAAAGCGGUACGCGAGCUGGGUUUAGAACGUCGUGAGACAGUUCGGUCCCUAUCCUCUGCGCGCGCAGGAAACUUGAGAAGAGCUGUCCCUAGUACGAGAGGACCGGGAUGGACGAACCUCUGGUGUGUCAGUUGUUCUGCCAAGAGCACCGCUGAUUAGCUACGUUCGGAAGUGUUAACCGCUGAAAGCAUCUAAGCGGGAAGCAUGCUUCAAGAUGAGGUUUCCAUGGGGUUUACCCCGAGAGGCUCCCAGCUAGACUACUGGGUUGAUAGGCCGGAUGUGGAAGUGCGGUAACGCACGGAGCUGACCGGUAC
rnacentral:rRNA from 1 species